UGGGGAAUUUUGGACAAUGGGGGCAACCCUGAUCCAGCAAUGCCGCGUGAGUGAAGAAGGCCUUCGGGUUGUAAAGCUCUUUUGUCAGGGAAGAAACGGUAGUAGCGAAUAACUAUUACUAAUGACGGUACCUGAAGAAUAAGCACCGGCUAACUACGUGCCAGCAGCCGCGGUAAUACGUAGGGUGCAAGCGUUAAUCGGAAUUACUGGGCGUAAAGCGUGCGCAGGCGGUUGUGUAAGUCAGAUGUGAAAUCCCCGGGCUCAACCUGGGAAUUGCAUUUGAGACUGCACGGCUAGAGUGUGUCAGAGGGGGGUAGAAUUCCACGUGUAGCAGUGAAAUGCGUAGAUAUGUGGAGGAAUACCGAUGGCGAAGGCAGCCCCCUGGGAUAACACUGACGCUCAUGCAAGAAAGCGUGGGGAGCAAACAGGAUUAGAUACCCCAGUAGUCCCUGAGCGGGCUGGCAAGGCGCAU
rnacentral:rRNA from 1 species